GCGGCGGGAGCGCUAGUAAGGCGCGAGCAAGGCGAGAGGGUUUGGGCGAGAGCCGAAAGCGCGAAGCCAAAACCCUCGAAUGUGGUGGCUACGGAGGUUCGAAUCCUCCCCUGUGCACCA
rnacentral:tRNA from 1 species